ensembl:lncRNA
GUAAGCGGGACAAGGGGGCUGCGGGGAGAGGGGUUCGGCGCACUUCAGGAAGCGUGCGCGCCGGCCGUGCGGAGUUGCGAGUCAGCUCUUUAAGUGUAUUUAUUCGCGAAGUUUUGUCGUCAUGUUUCUGGCUCGGCGGGCGGGGCGGUCUGGAGGAGGAGAAAGGCCGCGGGGGGCCGAGCCUGUUGCUCCCCGCUCCCGGUGUCGCGGCACGGCCUGCGGCAGACAGGCGGCUGCGGGCCUGGCGGGGGCAGCCGUCCUCGCGUCACCGGCGGCCACGGGAGGGAAGGUCCCUGAGCGCCUCCUUCUCUCGUUCUUCUUCGUCCCCCCCCCCUCCCCCCUUCCGGCGGGCAGUUCCCAUCCCUGGAGGAUGUCUGCUCCCGCGACAGCUUGCAGCCGCAGGCCCCGAGCAAAGCCACUGGCUUUUCCUUGAGUGGGUGCGUUCGAGGGACUCGGUAGGCGCUGAUGGGCUCCUUGGGGUACUGCGCUUCCACUGUGGAUACCGCUUUCCGCGGGUGGCAGACGCUUCCUGCAGCGCGGACCCCACUGUUGGUCCCCGAGUGCGCGUUCAGGCACGGUCCUUUCAGCAGAGUGGGUGCGAGGCCUUAGUUUUGCCUUCUAGUAGGUGGGGCUGUGAGAGGAAAAGGGUUUGCUGUAUGGGAUGCUUUCUGUCUAGGGUGGAUUUCCGUUCUGCUUCCAGUACAUUUUUGUGUUACUGGGAAGAAUAAUAGGCAAAAAAAAAUCUCUCUCAGGGCUGACCCUGUGAGCUCUGUGUACCACAUCUCAUAGGAUUGAUUUGCAGCCUGGCUGAGCAAUGCUACAUUCUUUUUUUUUUCCCUUUUCUUUCAGCUUUUAAAAACAGAGCCUCAUCCCUUUUGCUUCUUAGCACACGCAGGAAACUUAGCAUAACUUGCUGAAAAGAAAACGUUAUUCCUAGCCAUGGUACUGGAGGCGAUAGGCGGAGUCCUUUGCCCAGCAGAGCAGUAGCUGGGCCAAGCAAAAGGGCCUGGUUUCAGCUGUUGAGGCAGCCUGUUGUGUAAUGCCUUGUUGUUUCUGUAUCAGCAGGGCAUUUUCCAAGAUAACAACUUGUUGGGAGGGAAGAGUCUAAAUAAAUAAAGGGAAAAGUAGUAAAACGUGUCUGGGAAAUGUCAAUUCCCUACAAAAGUGGAAAGUAACAUAGCAUUAAAGGAACAAGAAUGCUGAACAAAAAUGCCUAAGGGCAUAUUAAUGUAGGUGUUUUAAUGGCAGAGAACAUCAUCGUAGUUUUCAACAUUGUUACCCGUUGUUGGGGUACAAGUAUUUAAUACGUCCCUGUUGCAUCAACAGAGCACAUGUGUAACAUUUACUGACUACAGCCAGUGUUUCUGCUGGCUUUUUUUGUGCUAUCAAGAAACUUUUCAUUGGGAACUGGAUACAUUCUCCCUCUCUUCAUGUAACAGUGCACUGGGAAAGCUAGAUUGAUUUCAGCACUGGGGAAAAAAAGGAGCUGCGCUACUUACAUACUAAUUGAUGUGCUUUAUUUUCAGUAUGGCACUGUGUUUGUGAAUUCUGUGGAGCAAUCAGUAGAUUAGAAACAAAAAAAUGCUUGAAAUUAUGUGGUCCAUAUUUCAUGCAAGAAAAUUUUAAAUUCUGAAGAUGAUAUACUUUACGUUUUCUAAUUGGCUUUCCACUGAAACAUCCUACUGAAGCAGUUUCAGCAAAUACGAUAUCAAGCUGAUAAUGUAGUCUGUCAUCAUUGGUAAGGACAGCUUUGUUUUGCCACAGGCAUUCUCAACAAGUCAGUGCAUAAAUAUGUCAUUUUGUUUUCAGUGCCCUCUUUUCACGCGGAAAUUGGUUUGGAGUACACUUGGUUGUUGCUUGUGGAAUAAUUGGCCUAUAUGGUUGCGGAGUAGUUCUUUAACAGGCUUUUCAAACUCAGUUCUUGUAUUGCUUGUAUCAUAUUCUCUUUAUGUGCUGUAAUGACUUCCUGCAUGAUUCUUCCUUUAUUUUCACAGUAUGCGAUAGAAGUUUUACAGCAUUUUUGGUUUGUAAGGACAGUGAUGACUCUUCAUUGGCUUAACAGUGAGGCUUUUCUUUUUUUUUAACCAUUUAUGUAUCCUGUCUUUACCUCUAUGAAGAAUCCAGUAUAUGCUAAGAGAUGCAACUACUGUAGAAACUGUGUUUAAUUAAGUUUAUCUAAAUUCAAUGAAUUUGGUAAUAAACUCUGUAUACUGGAAAAGUGAAUAGGCAAUAUAAACCAUGUCUAAGCUUCUUAGAGCGGGUUGGGAUGUGUAGUGUCACAUAUAUUUUGUGUAUGCUGAGAAGCUGCUUUUCAGUUCCUGAAGCUAAUCCUGUAUUUCUAGUGUUUAAAGAAAAUUAUUUCAGUUAAUCUCAAUUUAUUUAUUGCAAGAUUUCUUUUCUGUAAACAGAUUAUCUGUUUGGUUUUUUUAAUAGUACACCAAAAAAGUUCCCCUACUGUGUUUUUUUUGUUUGUUUGUUUGUUUUUGUUUUGUUUGCAGAACUCUUUACCAGUUACUUGUGAAUACUUUGCAUCACAUAUAUUUAUCUGCAAAUGAAAGUAGGAGGUGUCAUUUAGGCCCAGUUCUGGCUUAGAAUUGUAACUUGCGCAUCAGCUAGCGUAAAACAUUCAUGUAGAGCUCUUGACUGUAUUACAGAAUAUUAUUAAUUAAAGAGAAACAAAGAGAUUGUACGUUGGUCUGAAAGCUUUGCAGGUUUCCUUAAAACUUAUGUGUGCAGAAGAUUAAAAUAGUUGAAUGUUCAAAAUCUGGUUUUCAUAGUUGUUUAGCUUUACUGGCAUACUUUCUUCUGAGAUACAGAGCUGCUGCUAUUGCCUUUCUACCCCGUUUUCAUACAUUCAGUGUUCUGCUAAGUUUCAGGAGUCUAGCAUUGUCACUUUACAAACCAAAUAGCUUAUAGUUUCCAUACAGCCUUUCUGUCAAUUUGUGAACUGGCUUUUUGUUUCUGCUUUGAAUGUUUUGGAACAGUUUUCCUUUAACAUAGCUUUUAAAUGUGUAUUUCAUACUUCUCAUACUUUCCUGUUACUUUUCUGGCAGUCAGUGGAGAUCUGCUUUGCUCUUUGUGGGACUUAAUUUUGUUUAUAUUAAGCCUUCACUAAUAGAUUUGACAGGUAUUGAGUCAGUUCUCUUCUGUCAUACAGAAGUGUGCAGUCCCUCUGCUGAUGAAAUGGGUGGUUGAUGUUAAUUCUGCCUAUUGGUAUCUUGUUGUGGAAGCAGUAGGCUAGCCUUUUUUUGUAGUUGCCUUUAUUCUUUUCCACUGCCUGUUUCUUUUUCCCCCCCCCUUUUUUUUUCCUCCUCUGUGCUCAAGUAUGUUUAUCACUGUCACUGUGAGUAGUGAAGGCUGUGCUUGUCAGACUACAGUUGUUGAGAUUGUAUAAUACUUCUGGGAGUCCUUGAAAGUGCUGUAUGAACAGCCGAAUUGCCUUCAUGGCAAUAGAAGGAUAGGAAGCAUGAGAUCUUUCAGUUGAGCUUGAAUGGUUUCAAAUGGCUUUGUAUUGACGAGACGUGUUUUCCAGGAGUACGAGGAUCACUGUAAUUUUCUUCACAGGGAUGUUAGCCAGGGUGAGGGAGGUAGCUGGGUGAAAUAGAAAAGGUUGGUUAAAUUGCAAGCAAUACAGAAGGUUUCCUGGUAAUCAGUGUCUUCUGUUUCCCAUGUGGUUUGGUUUUUAUUCUUCUGCCAACCAGAGCUAACACAAUAUGCCUGUUUGAGUGACAGCCAGAAAGUGGGGGAAUAGAAAGGCAUGGGAUAAAAGUAAAGUAAGAAGGAACACCUUUUGCCCAGACCCGGGUGCUGAAAUUUAAUUAGAAUUUUUGAAAUACUCUUCUUAUCAUCUACGGAGUGUAGGCUUUGAUUACCAUGUUGCUACACUGAGACAGAUUUGGUUUUAAUCUCCUGCAGCUCCUAGCCAAAGCUUGGACCUGGAGAUUGCUCUUAAGAUAGGCACUUCCUUUGUAUCCUGGGGGCAUAUAAAGUAAUGCAAGAGCUACAAGGCAAAGCCUAUUACUCUGUUUUCUAUCUUUGGCAUCACAUGUUUGCUAAUCCAGUGCUGUGAGCAUGAGUUUCCGAGGUAUUAUCUGAAAUGGAUUUGUGAAAUAGUAGAUGGAGCAUGUGUAAAUGCAGAAGAGGAAGUUUCCUUGUAGGAGUUACAAGAUCAGGUGUGAAAGAGUAAUAAUUAGAAGGAACUCAUGUUUUCCUUUUUCACAAGUCUUAUGCCUGUUCUGCUUAAUAAGGUUUGCAUGACUGCAGUGAAAAGGAGGUAUUGAGCAUACACUUUGUCUACCUUGAAAAUUCUUAAACCUAUGGAUUUGAGUGCUUUAGGAGUGGGCACUAAGAAUCCAGGGCUGCAGCAUUUUUUCUGGCAGCUGUUCUAUGAGAAGACCAGCUGCAGUGACAGAGGGAUGUGUAUGUAACACAUUUUUGUGUGUUACUGUGGGAAGAGUCGAAUUUUAGAAGUGCAAGUGUAUUAAUGAUUAUAUGAUGUAGGGGAUUAUCUUUAGCUUUUGUGCAAGCUUAGCAGAAGAUUAAGUUUCUCGUUGUGUACUUAGCUAAAAUUACUUGUGUGUUUAUUUUACUUUUUUACUAUAAAACAAGAGUAAAGGGAUGAGGUGCCUAUUUUUAAAAGUCACACCUGUGUCUUUGGAAACACUGAAUUAAUUUGCUGUUCAUUUGGCAGUACUUCUUCCGUAGCCAUUAAAAAAGUCUAAGUCAGUCAAUGUUAUUAUUGUGAAGAGAUUAGUGAACUUUAGGACUGGAGCACAUAAAUAGUUAAAUCUACUUUGAGAUGAGCUAGUAAGCUCUUUGAGUCAUGACUGCUGUUUGUGUCAUAUAUAGAAGGACAGGUUUUGGCUUUGGACUCCUGCGAUACAGAUGGCCAGGAGUAUGGAAAACGAGAUGAUCAGAAACAGUCUUUCAUUCAUUCACGUAUCUAGAAUUUGUGAUGGUAUUGUAAUAAUAUUCACUAUAGCAAAUGAAAGAUAUACUUAGACAACUCUUUGUUGAAAUGUGUCUCCAUACUUCUCCUUGGACAAGGUUUGCUGGGUGCAUUAUUACUGAAAUACCUAGAAGUGUGCUGUGUUAAAGGCCAGGAGCUGUUGCUGUGGUGGGUGGGAGUGGUGUCUAUGGACACGUCCCUGUACUGCAUCUUGGGCAGAUGCAUGCUUGCUACCCUUGUACUUCAGCUAGGCUGAUGUGCCACUAAGCUGGUGCUGACAGAUCCCAACUGUUAGCAUGGAUGUGGCACAGCAGGAGAAGAGUUGGGUGGCUUUUGCCACGUCGGAGUGUGCACAGAGCAAAGGAUGUCAUCUCGAACUGUGAUUAAUACUAUGAAUGCCUUGGGUAUGCCUUGGGGCAUUGCUUCUUUUUCAGUGGAAGUGUCCUGAAGGAAAACAUUCUGACAGCAAUUCCUGUCUUGAUCCUUCUUUGAGCUGCGGUCUACAAGAGCAUUAGAUCUGGUAGUUGUGUGCUGGGAUUUACCUUCUUAAGUAA